CGUCAACGUCUUCAUCUGUUUUAGAUUGGACCACUACAACACUGCCGACACCAUCACCAACCCCGUCAACGUCUUCAUCUGUUUUAGAUUGGACCACUACAACACUGCCGACACCAUCACCAACCCCGUCAACGUCUUCAUCUGGUAGGAGAUCUAUAGAUGAGGUCUACACUUUUGACAUACUUUCUGUCACAGAUGUGUAGGCCACUCAUUAAGCUUACAUUUCCGCUACCUUCACAUCACACAUGCACAUACAAAUGGCAGAAAAACACAUUGCAAAGAUUUCUGCCCAGGACUUUUGAACUCUGAACCUUGUAAACAUAGGUGUUAGCUAUACGUAUGGGAUUGUAGCAUUCAAAGAGUGUGUGUGGUUUCACUACUAAGUACUGUAUAUGCAAUGAAUGGGCUAACAGAAUGACACCUUCUGCACCACGCUAAGAGCGGCAGCCAUCUUUAUCUUGACAUCAUAAUAGGGAUGGCCACUUACAGACCUGAAGGAAAUAUACAAUUAUGCCUUGACACACAUAGUUUUUUGUAUGGAGUCUCGUGCCCUGCAUGUUCCUGAGCAACGUAUUCAUUGGCUGGAAUUGUUUAUGGGUAUAAAUUAAUGGGUCGCUUAGAUGUAUUAAGGCGUUUUAAGUACAUUUUAGCAUCAUUCUUUCCAUGUACAGAAGUCUGCCAGUAAUUGCACUCAAGCAUUUGUCUGAAGCGACAUUUGACCUGAGGAGUAUGUUUUAACAGCCCUGUGGAAGCCGUGUUUUCUUUGGAAACAAACAGUCUCUCACAGUUUUAGAGCAGAUAUGCUAAUUCAUUUUUAUCUUCAAUUAAUUUACAAGAGUGUG